GAAAACCUGCUCGCAGCAAUAAAGACCCAAUGCAGCCAAAAAUAAAAUAAAUAAAAAUAAAUAAAUUUAUAAAAAAAAAUAGAACCCCACGUUUCAACUCUGUCACUCCCAGAAGAACCACUCUUGUUUUGGUUUGGUUUAGGUUUCUGUGUUUUUUAAUUUAAUUUUUAUUUUAUAUUGAAGUAUAGUUGAUUUACAAUGUUGUGUUAGUUUCAGGUGUACAGCAAAGUGAUUCAGUUAUACAUCUACAUGUAUCUAUUCUUUUUCAAAUUCUUUUCUAAUAUAGGUUAUUAUAGAAUAUUGAGUAGAGUACCCUGUGCUAUACAGUAGGUCCUUGUUGAUCAUCUAUUUUAUAUAUAGUAGUGUGUAUAUGUUAAUCCCAAACUCCUAAUUUACCCCUCUCCCCCUCUUCCCCUUUGGUAACCAUAAGUUCAUUUCCUAAGUUUGUGAGUCUGUUUCUGUUUUAUAAAUAAGUUCAUUUGUAUCAUUUUUUUAGAUUCCACAUAUAAGUGAUAUCAUAUGAUAUUUGUCUUUCUCUGGCUUACUUCACUUAGUAUGAUAAUUUCUAGGUCCAUCCAUGUUGCUGCAAAUGGUAUUAUUUCAUUCUUUUUAAUGGCUGAAUAAUAUUCCAUUGUAUAUAUGUACCACAUCUUCUUUAUCCAUUUCUCGUCAAUGAACAUUUAUGUUGCUUCCAUGUCUUGGCUAUUGUAAAUUGUGCUGCUGUGAACACUGGGAUGCAUGUGUCUUUUUCUUUUUUUCAUUUUUUUUUGGCUUCGCCAGGCGACAUUCAGGAUAUUAGUUCCCCAAACAGGGAUCAAACCUGUGCCCCCUGCAGUGGAAGUGUGGAGUCCUAACCACUGGACCGCCAGGGAAUUCCCUCUUUUUCUUUUUUUUUUUUAAGUUUUCUUUUUUUUUUUAAUUAUUAUUUUUUUUUGCGGUACGCGGGCCUCUUACUUUUGUGGCCUCUCGCGCUGCGGAGCACAGGCUCCGGACGCGCAGGCUCAGCGGCCAUGGCUCACGGGCCCAGCCGCUCCACGGCAUGUGGGAUCUUCCCGGACCGGGGCAUGAACCCGUGUCCCCUGCACCGGCAGGCGGACUCUCAACCACUGCGCCACCAGGGAAGCCCUUAAGUUUUAUUUUAUAUUGGACUAUGUUGGUUUACAAUGUUGUGUUAGUUUCAGGUGUACAGCAAAGUGAUUCAGUUAAAUUCAGCUAGGUUGCUUCCAUAUUCUGGCUAUUGUAAAUAGCACUGCAAUGAACAUUGGGGUGCAUGUAUCCUUUCGAAUCAUGGUUUUCUCUGGAUAUAUGCCCAGGAGUGGGAUUGCUGAAUCAUAUGGUAGUCCCAUUUUUAGUUGUAUGAGGAGUCUCCAUACUGUUCUCCAUAGUGAUUGUACUAAUUUACAUUCCUACCAACAGUGCAUGAGGGUUCCCUUUUCUCCACACGCUCUCCAGCAUUUAUUGUUUGUAGACUUUUUGAUGUUGGCCAUUGUGACUGGUGUAAGGUGAUAUCUCAUUGUAGUUUUGAUUUGCAUUUCUCUAAUAAUUAGGGAUGUUGAGCAUCUUUUCAUGUGCUUUUUGGCCAUCUGUAUGUUUUCUUUGGAGAAAUGUCUGUUUAGAUCUUAUUCCCAUUUUUUGAUUGGGUUGUUUGUUUUUUUUGAUAUUGAGCUGUAUGAGCUGUUUGUGUAUUUUGGAGAUUAAUCCUUGCUAGUCACAUUGUUUGCAAGUAUUUUCUCACAUUCUGUAGGUUGUCUCUUCGUUCUGUUUAUGGUUUCCUUUGCUUUGCAGAAGCUUUUAAGUUUAUUAAGUCUAAUUUGUUUUUUUUUGUUUUUAUUUUCAUUACUCUAGGAGAUGGAUCGAAAAAGAGUUUCGAUUUUUGUCAAAGAGUGGUCUGCCUAUGCUUUCCCCAGAGGAACCACUUUUGAUGUGGUCAUCUGGCAGAGGAGAGCAGACCCAGUGUGAAAACAAAAGCAAAGCAGAGUUCAAGUCAUUUUGUCUUGAUCAAGGGAAGAGUCUUUGUGUGGUUUUUCAGCGUGAAAAGCGUGGGUGUUUCAGGCAGCUGAAAGCACCGUGUUGUUGAGUGUUUUUCCCAUGGUCAUUGCCUGUGCAGCCUAGAGCCUGGACAUUUCAGGGAGAAAGAAAAGUGGAGGCAGGGGGUGCUCUGUGAAAGAGAACACAGGCUUAGAAUGCUUCUCAACUGGGAUCCUUUCAGUUUAGGAUUGUUGCCUUAAAUUUACUGUCUUACGGUCAAUCCAGGCCACUCUGAUUUGCCCAACAUGAGGACGUCUUGUCCCAGCUGUAGCUACUCUAACAUUUUUGCAAUGUAUCCCCGAGAGAAGUGUUUGGGUCUUAAUUUGAUCAUAACCAUGUUAUUUCAGAGCCCUAAAGAGAGCAAAUGGGAGCAAAAAGAAGGAAGCAAAGAUCCCCACUGUGGCUUAAGUCAGGAAGCCCCCCACAGGGGAAGCCGUCUUCUUAGGAAUCAUAUUUUGUAGAAAACGAAGGGCAAAGUAAACCCUCUGAUUUUUUUUAAAACUCCUACAUCCUGACAUGAGGUAGAUUAAGAUUCUUUUGUUUUUAAUUUUGUAUUUUCAACAUUUUAUUUUUUAAUUUUUUUAUACAUCUUUAUUGGAGUAUAAUUGCUUCACAAUGCUGUGUUAGUUUCUGUUGUACAACAAAGUGAAUCAGAUAUAUGCAUACCUAUAUCCCCAUAUCCCCUCCUUCCCUAACCCACCCCUCUAGGUGGUCACAAAGCACCCAGCUGACCUCCCUGUGGUACGUAGCAGCUUCCCACUAGCUAUCUAUUUUACAUUUGGUAGUGUAUGUAUGUCAGUGCUACUCUCUCACUAUGUCCCAGCUUACCCUUCCCCCUCCCCGUGUCCUCAAGUCUGUUCUCAAUGUCUGCAUCUUUAUUCCUGCCCUACCACUAGGUUCAUCAGUACCAUUUUUUUAGAUUCCAUAUAUAUGUGUUAGCAUACGGUAUUUGUUUUUCUCUUUCUGACUUACUUCACUCUGUAUGACAGUCUCUAGGUCCAUCCACCUCACUGCAAAUAACUCAAUUUCAUUUCUUUUUAUGGCUGAGUAAUAUUCCAUUGUAUAUAUGUGCCACAUCUUCUUUAUCCAUUCAUCUGUUGAUGGACACUUAGGUUGCUUCCAUGUCCUGGCUAUUGUAAAUAGUGCUGAGAUGAACAUUGUGGUGCAUGUAUCUUUUUGAAUUAUGGUUUUCUCAGGGUGUAAGAUUCUUCUUGAUUAUUUAAGAAUCAUCCUGUUUGCCUGGUACCUCCUUAAGUUUAAAGAAAAAGAUAAAAAGUAUACCCUGACUAUUAGACAUUGGGUUUUGGUUCUGGACUUUGGAUGAUUCUCUAAGUGCAGAAAAUGGUCUAAUUUCCUCAAUGUCAAGUUCAUCCACUGCAUUCCUGUUUUACUAUGCAUGUAAACUUGAUAUAUAUUUUUUUAACCUUCAGACACCAUAUACACUUGAUUUUCCAAAAGAAAAAGGUUUUUUUCUAAGCGUUGGUAAAGUAUUGGGAAGAAGAAUAAUGAAUUAACCUAGAGCCAUAAAAACAUCUAUACUCCUUAAGUUCUUGCUUUUCGCAAGCAAUCAGGGCAACUUUAUCCUUGGAAAUGGGGAUUUACAUUUGGCAAUUUGAAAGUUUUUCUUUCUGGAAAAAAAUCACAAUUUAUAGAGUUAGAACAAUAACAACAACUCAGUGCACUAUGGCUCUUCAAGUGAUUCCAAGACCUUUGACUGGUCCUACAACAAGGGGACUUUUACAGGAGUCGGGACUGUCUGAGGGUGCAGGGCCCAGGUUCCUUCUUCAGAAGGCCUUUCCUCAGCACAGCGCGGCUGAAAUCGAGAUAGGCCAAAUCGAGAGGGGUUACCUGCUAUUUCCCAUGUGAUGGGGAAUCUUUAGUGUCUGCCGAAAGUGACUCUUCGGGGGACUAAAAAAGAUAAAAUCUCAAUUGUCGAUUCUCUUCCCAGCAAUAAGAUGGACCAGAUGCCCAAAGAAAUUCCUCCCACUACAACUCAGCUGAAAAUAUUGAAUAAGAUAUAAAAACAUGUUUUUAAUGUAUGAUCGAGCUGGCAGGAAACUAAGGAGAUGCUUUCAUGACCAGAACCUAUCUCAAAAAACGCAGAUCUAGAGAAAACAGUAGAAAUCAAGCAGUGAAGUCAGAGUUCUUUCCGGGGGUACGCCCACACCCCUAGGGAGCUAGAGCUUGGGUUUAAACACUUGCUCUUUGGGUUAAAGAUAAACAAAUGAAGAAGGGGCAGGAUGGGAGGACACUCUCCUCCCCCACAUUCUUGCAUAAAGCCAGAAUUCUGGAAAGAUAUCCUUGAUGGAUGAAAUAGAGAAAAUCUACCCCAUUGAGGUAGAGAGUGGGGAUGUUUGGUUGAGCUGGUCGGCAACUCUGAUGGUGGGUGCGGAGGUGAGGAAUGAAAUGAACAAUUCCCCCUGAGAGUUCCUAACCACAAGCCUGUACUCAUGUGGUUUUAGAAUUGGUAUUCACACUGAAAACAACUCAUAGUUAAACAUUUCAUUUAAAGUGGCCCUGGGUGAGUGAGUAAUGGCUCCAUAUACCUGGCAGAAGCACUACAAACUUUCUCUUUAGGAACUCUAAGCUUUAGAGAAUUUCCACAGAUAAAACCUCAAGAAACAUGGGAUCGUAAUUAAAAAAGGAAAGAGCAGGGACUUCCCUCGUGGCGCAGUGGUUAAGAAUCGUCCUGCCAAGGCAGGGGACACGGGUUUGAGCCCUGGUCUGGGAAGAUCCCACAUGCUGUGGAGCAGCUAAGCCCAUGCGCCAUAACUACUGAGCCUGCGUUCUAGAGCCCGUGAACCACAACUGCUGAGCCCGUGUGCCACAACCACUGAAGCCCGCGCGCCUAGAGCCGGUGCUCCGCAACUAGAGAAGCCACCGCCAUGAGAAGCUUGCGCACUGCAAAGAAAAGCAGCCCUCUCUCGCCGCAACUAGAGAAAGCCCGCGCACAGCAACGAAGACCCAACGCAGCCAAAAAUAAAUAAAUAAAAUUUUAAAAACCAAAGCAAAACAAAACAGUAACUCGCUAAACACAUGUGCAAACAAUCCUUCAUGAAUGAGUCAGGAAAAACGAUAAAAGAGUCGGGCUGGCAACCACUGAAGAUAUUGGAAUGAUCAGAUACAAAACAUAAAUUUAUUAUGUGUCAUACACUUAAUGCUAUAGAAGAGGAAAUUGAAAGUGUGUUAAGGGAAUAAGAAACCAUCAACAUUGGCUAAACGGACUUCUUCCCAAAAGCUUCUAGAAAUGAGAAUCAUAAUACUUAUAGUCAGAAACAAUGAGCAGAGUUUGUUACUGUUGUGUUGUUUUUACUUUUUUAAGUAGCAAGUUUCAAGUGCAUACAAAAGGAGAGAGAAACCACUAUAAAGACUUAAUCUAGCUUCAACAGAUUUUCAAUCUUAGGUUUUUGUUUGUUUGUUUGCUUUCAAGACAGGGAGCUUUCCCUGACCUCACCCACCCAGUCUGGGUUAGGUCGUUCUACUAAAUGCUCCCAUGGCAGCCUGUAUUUAUGCCCAUCAUAGCACUUAUCCCACCAGAUGGUAACUGCCUGGCUUUUGUUGUUAUUGUUGUUGUUUAUUUGUCUCCCCAACCAGAAAGGAAACCCCGUGAGGCCAAGGAUCCUGUCUGCAGCACCUAGAACAGUGCCUGGAAUAUAGUAGCUGAAAACAGUAGCUGCAUCAGUAGCAAAUAACGACCAAGAGAGCCAGAAGGAAAUGCAGGAUCCCCAGAAACCACUCACACAAUGUCUGGACUCCCAGGGAGCUGAGAAAGCCCCUCUGCAUUUUAAGACGCCUGAAUGGAUCAGCCUGGAGUGCUCCUAAACUCAAGGUUACACUUCUCAGAAUCUUCUGUGGCAUGAAUUUGUGAAGCCACCAAGGAGAUAGGAGGAUUGAUCUGCUGCAAGUGGGAAUGAAUGUGUAUUGUCACUUGCUGUCCUCAGGUGUGGCCCAAAGGUGCACUAUUGUAAAGGUGAGGUCUCAGGCUCAAACCUGACCACUCUGUGAGGUGUCCCCUCAGCUCCUCCAGGCACCCUUCUGCCGUGGUGACUUGGAGCCAGACUGAAAGCAACCCACGUUGGGGAUCCAAUCAGAGGAGGCAGAGCUUGUUUGCUCUGAACCACCCCUUGGGAGGUUAGCCGUAAGGGGUUACACUUAUCCGCUCAAGUCUUGCAAUAAACAAAAGGGAGGAAACUCAUAAGACUGGGAUCAAAAAAAGGAAAAGCUGAGCCGAUUCUUUACUGGGUUGUCAACACACCUGAUCAGAAAAAAUCAGAGGCUCAUCCAAAAGGAGGUUUGGGCUGAAAGAAAACAACUCAAGGACUUGUCGGCCGGAUGGAGUGGCAGGGCUCUGAUUUGGUUUUGGGGGUCAGGAGGGCCACAGAGCCUCUGAGUCAUUAUUUAAUACCACGGAGGAGGUUCAGGGGACUGGGGAUGUCACUGGUCACUCAUUCAAGAGGGUUGUGUAGUCUGGGUGUUAAUACUGCUUCAGGUUCCUUUAGGAACUUCACCGUCUGAUUACCAGCAGGGCUGAGAAGCAGACUCAUGGCCUUGCUCAGUAGACAUGCAAAGCUGAGAUAAAUGCGGAGCAUUGUCUCUGAAAGCCCUUUAUCUGAAGUGCUGCUCCUGGAGAAGGUGAGAUACCAAAACCCGCUCUCAGUGUGGAAUGACCCACAUGCCUCCGGUUCUUCAGGCAUGAGUGGGAUGUUCCUUUCUCACUGAAAUGAUUCCAAAACAGCAGUUUCUCAUAAUCUCUGAUUCUGGAGACCAGGCUUGUCAGCACCAAGUCCUUAGAGUUAAUUAACAAAAGCAGUUUUUACAGGUCUUUCUUCCAACCUGGUAAGGACUCACGGGAGGAACUUCCCUGGGGGCCUAGUGGGUAAGGCUCCGCGUUCCCAGUAGAUCCCUGGUCAGGGAACUAGAUUCUGUAGGCCACAACUAAGAGUUCGUAUGCCGCAACUAAAGAUCCCGCAGGCCGCAAUUAAGACCCUGCGCAGCCAAAUAAAUAAAUAUUAAAAAAAAAGAAGACUCUGGGGAAAAGGCUGUUACCCAUUAGAGAGGUUCUCAGAGAUGCAAAAUACCCUCGCUUGAAAACAGAGCCAUCUGCUGUUGAGUGUGGACUUUGUUUUCAGUCCUUGGUUUUUUAAAAUUUAUUUAUUAUUUAUUUAUGGCUGCAUUGGGCCUUUGUGGCCACACCCGGGCUUUUCUCUAGUCGCGGUACGUGGGCUUCUCAUUGCAGUGGCUUCUCUUGUAGCAGAGCACGGGCUCUAGAUGUGCGGGCUCAGUAGUUGUGGUGCACAGGCUUAGUUGCUCUGCAGCACGUGGGAUCUUCCUGGACCAGGGCUCGAACCCAUGUCCCCUGCAUUGGCAGGUGGAUUCUUAACCACUGCACCACGAGGGAAGUCCACACAAGGACUUUUAAGUUAGUGGAUCUUAAUAACAUCCUUGGUGUGUUAAUUGAGGAGCCUCCUGUUUGUCCUGUUAGCAGCAAAGCCAAGAGGUUCCCGAACUUGUUUCCUGGAGCUUCAUGGGAAGGUAGGAAGGUGGGAAGUUGCAAUCAGAGAAAUGUCCUCUUCAGCUAGACCCAGGAACUGCGGAGAGGGCAGGGGUGCUGGUUUGGGAGAUGACAGCAGAGGUACCUCAGGGACGUGCUUCAAAGAGAACAGAGAGGAAGAACAGAGCAGGCUAAACUAGAGAAAGGCUGAGCAAGCUUUCCUGGUGUACCCACACUUGACUCUGGGGCUCGUAACACUGCAACUGGCACAUCAUUGUUUAAUGAAUGAUUGAAUUCAUGUAGUUUGGGGACUAGGAAGUUUAUCAAGUCCAACCUUUGCUUACCCCAUGCGUGGGUUUACUAUGUAUCUGUGUUUCCUAGUCUCCGGACCUUUUGGUUGCAAAGAAUGUACUGCAAUUCAAUAUAAUUUUAUUUAAAAACGUUGUUUCAUUCACAACA